rnacentral:lncRNA from 1 species
UAAAGUCUACAGGACAACUGAUCUAGUACAAUUAUAUAGACAAGAUGAUACCAUGUAUUCAUUUAAACAUUUGUUUUCUUUACUUAAGUGGUGAUAUCUGUAUUGGUGGCAUCAUUUUUCCCCUUAUAGACUCUAUCUGUCAUAAUCCUGUUUCAUUGCUUUACUUAGAAGCAAUUAGUUUCAUGUUAUAUAUCUUUAAAAUAUUCCCAAUUAGCCUCAUGUUACAGGCAAACUGCCAGGCAUAAGGCAAAACAAAACUAGAAAUGCUGUGUGAUCUUUCUGUUUUGAGAUGUUCACCAAUUGACCUUCUAUUUCAAAUAUUUGUGUUCGUGUGUGUGGUGUGUGUGUGUGUAUGUACCUUUUUAGAUUCAUUUGACUUAAUGUGAGGCUUGUUAGUGUCUUGUUACGCUUGUUGGAACUAAAGUCAAACCACUUUAAUUCUUAUGGAAACUAGAGGGAACGAGUAAAUAGAAUCUUGACGCUUGUGUCAUCUUGACCUGGUGCAACACAGGGAGCUCAAGAGCCAGGAAGAUGGACUGUAUAUUGUAGACAUAAGGUCAAGUGUCUGUCCUCCAAAGCUUCCUGUCUAUUCACUAUUCUGGGACAUUUCUAGACUAUGCAAUAUUGUCAAAAUCCUUGCCUAUUGGUAUUUACAUCCUUAAAUGACGUUAAGAGUUAAGAAAGGAAGGAAGGAAAGAAGAAGGAAGAAAGGAAAGAAGACAGAAGGAAGAAAGGAAGGAAGGGGCCAGUUAGUAAAUAAUUACUACACAACUCUGGAAAGGAGCCAUGUUAUUGGAUUAGUGAACAGUAGUGGACAGUAUGUGAUAUCAUGGUUAAGGGAUGGAUCCUCCAAAAGUAAAAGAGCCUGUGUGGGACAAAAACCUAAAAAUGACCCUGAAGGCAGUUCUACUGUCUCAAAAAACGAAGACUUUCAGGUCAUUCUUCAACAUUCACUGAAGACAUCAGCAUCAGCACCACUUCAGUAAGCCCUGCUGGAACCCCGAGGGGCUCCAACAUCCAUGUGUAACAACGGUAGAGGAAAAUGAUGGACAGCACAGCUUCUGAACCGGACACACUUCAGUUCUCAAGAAGUCGGAUCUGAGAGCAUGCUUCCACCGCUGGAGCAUGCAUUCUGCUGGAAGAGGGGAAGAAGAGAUGAAUGAGGAGGAUAGGAUAUUGAUUUUAUGGUAUAAAAAAGAAGAUCUGAAGAAUUGGAUUUGCCAGAUCCUGGCUUAUGCAAAUGAAACUGGCAUUGAACAGAAGGAAGAGCUAUCUGGCCAAACACUCAAACUCCAGAAUUAAAGACUUGUUCAUCUGGAGGAAUGUCAUGCAUUCAACCUUUACCACUGAUGCUUGGGUAGUUCACAAUGUUUUACAAACUCUCAUCAACACAAGGAUUAGUGGUAUGAGCAUUCAAGGGUCAAGGCCAAAUUAGCAGCUUUGUGCUUUCCAUUUUGAGGUUGAAUUCAUACACAGCUGAUAACAUUCAAAUCUCAUCUCAAGUGAUGAGAGCAGAGAAAAUGAAUUGUUGUUGCUUUAAGCAGGACACUGUCUCAUUUCGUGAAUGCAAAUGUGUCGCUCUCUGGUGCAGCUCAAGAUUCUGCUUAUUAUAAACCUAAAACAGUCUGCCAUGCUUUUUGGUGUUUGCAUUGACACAUACAAUAUCAGAGUGCACUAGGAGGAGACAUUGUAUUUUGUUUCAACUAAUUUAUUUCGUGGACACACGUAAAACACCAUUCGUACAACGGGAAUGUCAAAAGCUUCAGAUGGCAAUUUCUAGUAAGGAAUGGUCAUGAAUAAAAUCAAAG